UACGUAGGUGGCAAGCGUUACUCGGAAUCACUAGGCGUAAAGCGCAGGUAGGCGGUUUGAUAAGUCUAUUGUGAAAGCUCCUGGCUUAACUGGGAGAGGCCAAUGGAAACUGUCAGGCUAGAGUGUGGUAGAGGAAGAUGGAAUUCCCGGUGUAGCGGUGAAAUGCGUAGAUAUCGGGAGGAAUACCUAUGGCGAAAGCAGUCUUCUGGACCAUCACUGACGCUGAUCUGCGAAAGCUAGGGGAGCAAACAGG
rnacentral:rRNA from 1 species